AGUGAACGCUGGCGGUAGGCCUAACACAUGCGAGUCGAACGGCAGCACAGUAAGAGCUUGCUCUUACGGGUGGCGAGUGGCGGACGGGUGAGGAAUACAUCGGAAUCUACUUUUUCGUGGGGGAUAACGUAGGGAAACUUACGCUAAUACCGCAUACGACCUACGGGUGAAAGCAGGGGAUCUUCGGACCUUGCGCGAUUGAAUGAGCCGAUGUCGGAUUAGCUAGUUGGAGGGGUAAAGGCCCACCAAGGCGACGAUCCGUAGCUGGUCUGAGAGGAUGAUCAGCCACACUGGAACUGCGACACGGUCCAGACUCCUACGGGAGGCAGCAGUGGGGAAUAUGGGACAAUGGGCGCAAGCCUGAUCCAGCCAUACCGCGUGGGUGAAGAAGGCCUUCGGGUUGUAAAGCCCUUUUGUUGGGAAAGAAAAGCAGCAGGUUAAUACCCCGCUGUUCUGACGGUACCCAAAGAAUAAGCACCGGCUAACUUCGUG
rnacentral:rRNA from 1 species